AAAGCAAAUCAACCUUGUUGCUUCUGAUUUUUUUCAGAAGAGGAAAGUCCGGACACCAAAGGAUAUCGUAGCGGGUAACGCCCGUCCGCCGUGAGGCGAGGACAAGUGCAACAGAAAGAAAGUACAGUGCGGCUGUAGUGAAAUCAGGUAAACUCUACGAGGUGCAAUGCUAUGUAUACCGGCGAUAUAAGAGCUAUCCGUUCAAUGCCGGGGGGUAAGCAGUUCGAGAUAAGGAGCAAUUCUUAUCCCAGAUAAAUAACAAGGCUUUUCAGAAAUGAAAACGACAGAAUCCGGCUUAUUGAUUUGCUUUUAUU
rnacentral:RNase_P_RNA from 1 species